GUCUCAUCUAUAGAAGCAAAGAGUGUUCUCAAAUAAUGGAAAGGAACAUCUUUUUCAUGUUAAUUAAGCAAAGGAGUGGAGAAAGUGUGGGAAAUCGCCAUGUAUUGCACAUACCAGAGAGGAGGAAAUCGCACUGUUGAAGAGCAUACAGGCUGCGCAGUAAUUCAUGCACUCUUCCCUUUCUGGCAAAGAUGAACAGGAGGCAGAGGGGAGAUGUGGUGAAACCCUUGAAGCCUUGUGUGAAGCUCAUUUUUUACAAAGGGAAUUCUCCACCCAAAGAAACUGGAAGUCUGGUUGGAGUUUCUCCUUCAGCAAUGAGGCCAACAUGUGCUUUCAAGUUUGCAGAACAUCCUUUUUUAAUGUGAGACGUGAUGGGAUACCAACUGAAUCCAUCCAGCCACAAUCAGCAGUUUGUAUGUUCAGGUACCUCCUGGCCAUCUGGCCCUACUCUCGCUCCCACCCAGGUGCCCCCCACUUCUCCGUGCCCCCGGCUGGUCUCUCGUCACAGUUACCUGGCUCCGCACGCCUGUUUCCAACUCAGGCUCUGAACGUUCUUCAAACCUAAAGCUGAUCUAAGCUGGGACGUACCAGUUUACCGU